CCCUUAGACGUUCUGGGCCGCACGCGCGCUACACUGACCAGUGCAACAAGCAUCCGUCCUUGGCCGACAGGCUCGGGCAAUCUUUGAACGCUGGUCGUGAUGGGGAUAGACUUUUGCAAUUAUGGGUCUUCAACGAGGAAUUCCUAGUAAACGCAAGUCAUCAGCUUGCAUUGAUUACGUCCCUGCCCUUUGUACACACCGCCCGUCGCACCUACCGAUUGAAUGGUCCGGUGAAAUCUCGGGACGGCGGCUUGGUCGCUUGCGUCCGACUGCUGAAACUUGAUUAAACCAUAUCAUUUAGAGGAAGGUGAAGUCGUANCA
rnacentral:rRNA from 1 species